rnacentral:rRNA from 1 species
GUACACGCUGUGACUAGCAUAUCAAUAAGCGGAGGAAAAGAAACUAACAAGGAUUCCCCUAGUAACGGCGAGUGAAGCGGGAAGAGCUCAAAUUUGAAAUCUUAAAGGGUUUCCCUUUACGAAUUGUAGUUUAAAGAAGUGUUUUCUGUUGAGGUUUUGGUAAAAGUCCUUUGGAAUAGGACAUCAUAGAGGGUGAGAAUCCCGUAUUUGACCUUUACUUUCAACUUUGUGAUACACUUUCAAAGAGUCGGAUUGUUUGGGAAUGCAGUCCAAAAUGGGUGGUAAAUUUCAUCUAAAGCUAAAUAUUGGCGAGAGACCGAUAGCGAACAAGUACCGUGAGGGAAAGAUGAAAAGAAUUUUGAAAAGAGAGUUAAACAGUACGUGAAAUUGUCAAAAGGGAAGCGUUUGACACCAGUGUUGUUUUUCUGAAAAUCAAUUAAAGAACUGUUUAUGCUAAGCUGUUUAGACUUUAUCAGCUAUCUGUUUAGUUUUGAGCUUUUCUUUAAUGCACUUUUCAGUUAACAAGUCAACAUCAAUUUCUUUUGCUGUAAAAAAGCUUGAGGAAGGUGGCUUGAGAUUCGUCUUAAGUGUUUAUAGCCUCUUGCCUAUGCAGUCGGAGAGAUUGAGGUCUGCAGCGUAGAUCCUUCGGGGCUAAAUGCAUUUGUGCUAAGUUAUAGCAUUUUAUAGACAACUUGUUGACUAUGAUUUGUCUUGUAGCUUACUCGCUUAUGUUAUUUUACCUACGCUUAGGAUGUUGAAGAUGUAGCACAUCAU